GUAAGCACAGUAAUGUAAUUCUCUGGGUGUGUCGCAUUCAGACUCGCGUGCGGAGAUGGGUGUGCGUGUGCUGUGUCUGUCAGUGACUUGUAGCAGGCGUGCUCGUGCUGAGUGUGAGGGACAGACAGCAUCGAAGUCAGUGUCUGCAGGUGUCACGCUGCCGAGCUUAAUUGUGCAAACUUGACUGGGCCUUGCCGUCUACCAUGUGUAGCCUGGGCGCAGCACCUGCUCCUUCAUUAUGAAACCUCUGGCGGCCCCCGCUCGCCAUGGAGUCCUGGGCCAGCAGGAGAGAUGCUCAGAGGACUGACGCUGAGAAACGGCGCUACUGGUGUUCAUGAUUCGAAACCAGAGCCUGGCGGUGCAGCCCGGCUUGAUGCCCAAGGAGUUUGUGCAGCGUCUCUUGAGCGGACUCGGGUGGGAACCGGGAGAGCAGGAAUUGACAGUGGGUGGGGACAGGCCCGCUGCUGAGCAGGGGGGCUCCCGGACUGGCCUCAGGGGCUCGUCGGCGACAGAGGCACAGCAUCUUCCUUAAGGCCACAGGCACGAAACAUCCCCGCUUCCGUAUGCCUGACCCCGCCGGGCAGCUGCGCAGCUGUGGAGCUGAAACCCCACGGAGCAGCGGCCGGGAGAAGCGCUUUUCUGGGUUGAAGCCGGUCGCCGCCUCCUGUCUCAGGAACCCACCGUGCUGCGAGUUUUCUCCAUCACACGCACUCGCGACCCUGACACAGGCAGGGCAGCCUGAGGGGCAGCGCAGUCUAAGAGCUUGGGCGCCUAGCACUGCAGUCUGGGCCUUCGAAGGGCCGACCUAGCCACCCAGCACCGAGUCGGUGAUGACUUUCGGGCAGCGCUUGUCUCUGUUCUCCGAAGUCGCGAUGUUAAAUUUUGAGAAAGGGGAAGAGUCGCUGAGGCUCUGGAAACUUGUCAGUGGUAGGCCUCCGAUGUGGACUGGUUCCUGAGAGUGAUAUGAUAUUAACUUGACAUCAGAGACUUUCUGUGGUGAUGUGGCCUGAGGCAGCCCUGCCCUGGUGUGCUGUGGGUAGUGCCUGGGCCUGGCCCUCUGGCCAAUUACCCUUCUCAGGCAGCUCCACAUCAGGACCCGCUCUCUCCUCCAUUCCCCAGGAGGAAAGGCAGUGCUGAGGGAGUUCCAGAGUGCUUUGAUUUUAUUAGCUGGGCCUUUGAAAUCAAACUUUGUGGGCAGGAGUUUUUCGAGGUAAAAGCAAGAGUGUUAGUGGAACUAUCCUCGAAGAACCUUAGAAACAGUUUAAACCGAAGGCCCCUUACCGUUUUCAUAGAUCUUUUCUCAAAGUGGGUGGAGGAGGAUAUUUAAAGUACCAAUAAUGUAAGUUUAAUGAACAGAGGCAGUUACUGAAACUUUGCUGGCAGAGGGAGGAACAGUGUUACUAGUCUGGGGAAGACAGGACAGCUGGACCCAAGUCCCUGCAUGGCGCGCAGAGCGCCUGAGCUCACGCUUCAUACACAUGUCCAUCUUCUGAGGAGCGCUCUGCGGCUCAGGUGUGGAAGGGUGCGCUCCGAGAAGACUGGGGACAUUGGCUGUGAAGUGGCUUGGGAUCAGGCCGUUCAUAGAAAACACAAGUGGCCUUUCCUGAGCCAUGUUACAGAUGGCAGCCAGGAGUCCCCAGGGCAUCUGGCUGUGGACCUGGCGGCCACUGAUGCCAAGGCCUUGUCCACUGACCUCCCAAGCUUCCUUACUGGACAGGCUGAGUGAGGAAAUGGCCUGGCUCCACGUAAUCGCUGGCUCGGGCCACACUUGAGCAGAAAUGGAUGUCACUUCCUGAGAAAAAUCUGCGGAUUUCCAAAUGAGCCAAAUUACUAAAUUCACAAGUAAUUUUGUUUUUGAUUCUUCAAAAUAUUUGUGGGUUUUUUUAAAGUGGCUUUUCUUCGGUACAGAACAGACAAAAGUAUUGAAUUGAGGGCUUUUUUUUGCUGCCAUUUGCACAUGUAGUAAACUCAGUCACUAUGUUUUGUUGGAAUUGUUCAGGUCUCGAGGGCUUUUUUGUCUCAGUGGUAUCUCAGCUGCUGGCACAUAAUAGGCAUACAGUGAACACAGUUGACCUUCUCAUUGAGUCGUAUUUCGGAUUAAUGAAGUCACAUUUGGCCCAAGCAUAAACCCUUGAAGCUGGCGGCCUGUAUGUACUUUGUCCGCUACCCUGCCUUUUUCAGUGUGGUCAGCGCAUAGCACCGUCAUGGGAAUCACCAGAACUGAACCCAGCCCUCGGCUGUGCUGUUACAGGUGUACUGUGCUUUUCAGUUAGCACCAGAGGGAUCCUGCGACUUUGUACGUAUGGAAAUAUAAAGAUCUUGUGAGAUUUGGAAAUAAAGCAGAUUAUUAACAUUUCAGAAAUGAUUUAUAAAACUGAAUGUUUGAAGACUACAGUGGAGCAGUAGUUGUAUAGAUUGUAAACUGAUGUUAUAUUAAAGUCUUAUAAACCUCCC
rnacentral:lncRNA from 1 species